rnacentral:snoRNA from 1 species
AGAUGUGAUGAUUUUAAUUUGUCGCCCCAGUCUUAUGCGUCGCCGGUAUCUCUUUGCCUCCGACCGAUGGUGAUUGACUUUUAUAUCUGAUCG